rnacentral:tRNA from 1 species
GACUUAUGGCUCAAUGGUAGAGCAUCGGAGCGGUAUGCCGAAGGUGUAGGGUUCGAUUCCCUGAAGAGUCA